CACGCCGUAAACGAUGAGUACUAAGUGUCGGGGGAAUCUCGGUGCUGAAGCAAAUGUAUUAAGUACUCCGCCUGAGUAGUACGUGCGCAAGCAUGAAACUCAAAGGAAUUGACGGGACCCUGCACAAGCGGUGGAUCAUGUUGUUUAAUUCGUGGAUACGCGAAGAACCUUACCAGGCCUUGACAUCUUCUGCAAAGUUAUAGAGAUAUAGUGGAGGGUAACAGAAAGACAGGUGG
rnacentral:rRNA from 1 species